rnacentral:misc_RNA from 1 species
AGAAGACUCAUGAGACACAUACUCCAUGAGUGGAUCGGAGACCCCUAGCUCAGUAAUAAUCACCUUGCACUCCUUCACAUUUUCAGCCAAUCUAGACGCAAAGCUCCAUAUAGAUUUCAUCAGCUCUUGUAGCCUUGCUCCCUCUCCAUAAAGUCCGUAGAGAAAUAGGAAACCAAAUGGUUUCUGCAGUGAGUCGCAUAUUGGCAAUUUAAGGCAAGCGAAAAUCUUAUCUCUUGCAUGGCUUAAAGUUGCAUGAAAAAACUUAAGUGGAUGAUGAGACUUUCGAAUAUGAAGCUUGUAUGCCUCACAAGAAUUCCAUAUGCUAAAGAUGGCCCAGGAACUAGGAGUUUUAGUAAUGAUGUCUUCAUUAUUCUUUUCAUUAUUGCUGUGCAAAAUAAUCCAUUCCUCUUCUUUAAAAUAAGAAACCCAAGUACCAAGACUCGGCUUUUCCUUCAACAUAGCAUCAAUGUCUG